GUAGGUGGCAAGCGUUGUCCGGAAUUAUUGGGGCGUAAAGCGCGCGCAGGCGGUUUUUUAAGUCUGAUGUGAAAGCCCACGGGCUCAACCGUGGAGGGUCAUUGGAAACUGGAGAACUUGAGUACAGAAGAGGAAAGCGGAAUUCCACGUGUAGCGGUGAAAUGCGUAGAGAUGUGGAGGAACACCAGUGGCGAAGGCGGCUUUCUGGUCUGUAACUGACGCUGAGGCGCGAAAGCGUGGGGAGCAAACAGGAUUAGAUACCCUGGUAGUCCACGCCGUAAACGAUGAGUGCUAAGUGUUAGGGGGUUUCCGCCCCUUAGUGCUGCAGCUAACGCAUUAAGCACUCCGCCUGGGGAGUACGGCCGCAAAGGCUGA
rnacentral:rRNA from 1 species